CCCUCGUUGUCAGUGAGGCAACAGCGAUGGGCUGGCUGGGGGGGCAGGGUUCUGGGGGAUGAACCAAGAGCUCCCCCAGCUCUUACCUUGACAGUGCCCAGGCUGCUCCCACAUCUCCCCGCCCAGCAAUGGGGCUGGCCGGAAACUGACCGUUUUGGAACUGAAAGCUCAGAAUCUGGUGUGUUCACCUGAGGUUAAGAAAAACAGCAGCAGCGGUGAGGAGACAGCCACGUGAGCCAGCAACUCUGAAAACCCAUCAUUGACUUA